GGGCUGGCCGCUGGGGCGGAAUCGGGCUUUGCACGCCUGAUGUGCCGGGUUCGAUUCCCGGUCGGUCCA
rnacentral:tRNA from 1 species